rnacentral:rRNA from 1 species
GAUGAACGCUGGCGGCGUGCUUAACACAUGCAAGUCGAACGAUGAAGCCCAGCUUGCUGGGUGGAUUAGUGGCGAACGGGUGAGUAACACGUGAGUAACCUGCCCUUAACUAUGGGAUAAGCCUGGGAAACUGGGUCUAAUACCGGAUAGGAGCGUCCACCGCAUGGUGGGUGUUGGAAAGAUUUAUCGGUUUUGGAUGGACUCGCGGCCUAUCAGCUUGUUGGUGAGGUAAUGGCUCACCAAGGCGACGACGGGUAGCCGGCCUGAGAGGGUGACCGGCCACACUGGGACUGAGACACGGCCCAGACUCCUACGGGAGGCAGCAGUGGGGAAUAUUGCACAAUGGGCGAAAGCCUGAUGCAGCGACGCCGCGUGAGGGAUGACGGCCUUCGGGUUGUAAACCUCUUUCAGUAGGGAAGAAGCGAAAGUGACGGUACCUGCAGAAGAAGCACCGGCUAACUACGUG